AACGAACGCUGGCGGCAGGCUUAACACAUGCAAGUCGAGCGCGUAGCAAUACGAGCGGCAGACGGGUGAGUAACGCGUGGGAACCUACCUUUUGGUGCGGAAUAACACAGGGAAACUUGUGCUAAUACCGCAUGUGUCCUUCGGGAGAAAGAUUUAUCGCCAAAAGAUGGGCCCGCGUUGGAUUAGCUAGUUGGUGGGGUAAAGGCCUACCAAGGCGACGAUCCAUAGCUGGUCUGAGAGGAUGAUCAGCCACAUUGGGACUGAGACACGGCCCAAACUCCUACGGGAGGCAGCAGUGGGGAAUAUUGGACAAUGGGCGGAAGCCUGAUCCAGCCAUGCCGCGUGAGUGAUGAAGGCCUUAGGGUUGUAAAGCUCUUUCGUCAGGGAAGAUAAUGACGGUACCUGAAGAAGAAGCCCCGGCUAACUUCGUG
rnacentral:rRNA from 1 species